UGUGAGCUCGAUGAGUAGGGCGGGACACGUGGUAUCCUGUCUGAAUAUGGGGGGACCAUCCUCCAAGGCUAAAUACUCCUGACUGACCGAUAGUGAACCAGUACCGUGAGGGAAAGGCGAAAAGAACCCCGGCGAGGGGAGUGAAAAAGAACCUGAAACCGUGUACGUACAAGCAGUGGGAGCACGCUUAGGCGUGUGACUGCGUACCUUUUGUAUAAUGGGUCAGCGACUUAUAUUCUGUAGCAAGGUUAACCGAAUAGGGGAGCCGAAGGGAAACCGAGUCUUAACUGGGCGUUAAGUUGCAGGGUAUAGACCCGAAACCCGGUGAUCUAGCCAUGGGCAGGUUGAAGGUUGGGUAACACUAACUGGAGGACCGAACCGACUAAUGUUGAAAAAUUAGCGGAUGACUUGUGGCUGGGGGUGAAAGGCCAAUCAAACCGGGAGAUAGCUGGUUCUCCCCGAAAGCUAUUUAGGUAGCGCCUCGUGAAUUCAUCUCCGGGGGUAGAGCACUGUUUCGGCAAGGGGGUCAUCCCGACUUACCAACCCGAUGCAAACUGCGAAUACCGGAGAAUGUUAUCACGGGAGACACACGGCGGGUGCUAACGUCCGUCGUGAAGAGGGAAACAACCCAGACCGCCAGCUAAGGUCCCAAAGUCAUGGUUAAGUGGGAAACGAUGUGGGAAGGCCCAGACAGCCAGGAUGUUGGCUUAGAAGCAGCCAUCAUUUAAAGAAAGCGUAAUAGCUCACUGGUCGAGUCGGCCUGCGCGGAAGAUGUAACGGGGCUAAACCAUGCACCGAAGCUGCGGCAGCGACACUGUGUGUUGUUGGGUAGGGGAGCGUUCUGUAAGCCUGUGAAGGUGUACUGUGAGGUAUGCUGGAGGUAUCAGAAGUGCGAAUGCUGACAUAAGUAACGAUAAAGCGGGUGAAAAGCCCGCUCGCCGGAAGACCAAGGGUUCCUGUCCAACGUUAAUCGGGGCAGGGUGAGUCGACCCCUAAGGCGAGGCCGAAAGGCGUAGUCGAUGGGAAACAGGUUAAUAUUCCUGUACUUGGUGUUACUGCGAAGGGGGGACGGAGAAGGCUAUGUUGGCCGGGCGACGGUUGUCCCGGUUUAAGCGUGUAGGCUGGUUUUCCAGGCAAAUCCGGAAAAUCAAGGCUGAGGCGUGAUGACGAGGCACUACGGUGCUGAAGCAACAAAUGCCCUGCUUCCAGGAAAAGCCUCUAAGCAUCAGGUAACAUCAAAUCGUACCCCAAACCGACACAGGUGGUCAGGUAGAGAAUACCAAGGCGCUUGAGAGAACUCGGGUGAAGGAACUAGGCAAAAUGGUGCCGUAACUUCGGGAGAAGGCACGCUGAUAUGUAGGUGAAGUCCCUCGCGGAUGGAGCUGAAAUCAGUCGAAGAUACCAGCUGGCUGCAACUGUUUAUUAAAAACACAGCACUGUGCAAACACGAAAGUGGACGUAUACGGUGUGACGCCUGCCCGGUGCCGGAAGGUUAAUUGAUGGGGUCAGCGCAAGCGAAGCUCUUGAUCGAAGCCCCGGUAAACGGCGGCCGUAACUAUAACGGUCCUAAGGUAGCGAAAUUCCUUGUCGGGUAAGUUCCGACCUGCACGAAUGGCGUAAUGAUGGCCAGGCUGUCUCCACCCGAGACUCAGUGAAAUUGAACUCGCUGUGAAGAUGCAGUGUACCCGCGGCAAGACGGAAAGACCCCGUGAACCUUUACUAUAGCUUGACACUGAACAUUGAGCCUUGAUGUGUAGGAUAGGUGGGAGGCUUUGAAGUGUGGACGCCAGUCUGCAUGGAGCCGACCUUGAAAUACCACCCUUUAAUGUUUGAUGUUCUAACGUUGACCCGUGAUCCGGGUUGCGGACAGUGUCUGGUGGGUAGUUUGACUGGGGCGGUCUCCUCCUAAAGAGUAACGGAGGAGCACGAAGGUUGGCUAAUCCUGGUCGGACAUCAGGAGGUUAGUGCAAUGGCAUAAGCCAGCUUGACUGCGAGCGUGACGGCGCGAGCAGGUGCGAAAGCAGGUCAUAGUGAUCCGGUGGUUCUGAAUGGAAGGGCCAUCGCUCAACGGAUAAAAGGUACUCCGGGGAUAACAGGCUGAUACCGCCCAAGAGUUCAUAUCGACGGCGGUGUUUGGCACCUCGAUGUCGGCUCAUCACAUCCUGGGGCUGAAGUAGGUCCCAAGGGUAUGGCUGUUCGCCAUUUAAAGUGGUACGCGAGCUGGGUUUAGAACGUCGUGAGACAGUUCGGUCCCUAUCUGCCGUGGGCGCUGGAGAACUGAGGGGGGCUGCUCCUAGUACGAGAGGACCGGAGUGGACGCAUCACUGGUGUUCGGGUUGUCAUGCCAAUGGCACUGCCCGGUAGCUAAAUGCGGAAGAGAUAAGUGCUGAAAGCAUCUAAGCACGAAACUUGCCCCGAGAUGAGUUCUCCCUGACUCCUUGAGAGUCCUGAAGGAACGUUGAAGACGACGACGUUGAUAGGCCGGGUGUGUAAGCGCAGCGAUGCGUUGAGCUAACCGGUACUAAUGAACCGUGAGGCUUAACCUUACAACGCCGAAG
rnacentral:rRNA from 1 species